UACAGAGGUCUCAAGCGUUGUUCGGAUUCAUUGGGCGUAAAGGGUGUGUAGGUGGCGCCGUAAGUCGGGUGUGAAAUUUCGGAGCUUAACUCCGAAACUGCAUUCGAUACUGCGGUGCUUGAGGACUGGAGAGGAGACUGGAAUUCCAUGUGUAGCGGUGAAAUGCGUAGAGAUAUGGAGGAACACCAGUGGCGAAGGCGACUUUCUGGUCUGUAACUGACACUGAGGCGCGAAAGCGUGGGGAGCAAACAGG
rnacentral:rRNA from 1 species